rnacentral:sRNA from 1 species
UUAAAAUGUACGAGUUAUCGAGACAGCUGCGCAAUUCGAGCUGCUAACUAACACAUGUUGUGCUUUGUCUGUUCAAUUCCUCCUGACUCCAGCUCCACUUCAGAACUCCCGCUCAUUAGAAGAAUGAGGCGUCCAAGUCUUCGUGUUCAACGAGCCAACGUCGGGGCUCCUGCUCGUACUGGUGAUCUGUCAGCCAUGGUGUCCGCGGCUGAAACACUCUAGCCGUCUCCAACGCAUCUGCCUCAGUGUCUCAUCCCUCGUUUCUUAAGAUCAAUACCGGGACCUCUACUGCAGCAGGUCAGUCAGAUAACAAUCAGGUCGCUCAUGUGUCUGGGCCAUCUGCAGUUGUUCAUUUUGAUGGUGCACCGUCCUCUCCGAAGAGAGCUCGGACCCAGCCGGAGGUGCAUCUGGCGGCUGAGUUUGUCGUGAGCGACCAGGGGGUCGCCUCCCUCAGAGAGGAGAAGAUGGAACCUGCGGCUGCUAUUCCGGAGGCAGAUUCAUCGCUUGGAGCAGAGGAGGGAGGAGCUCUCCAAAAAGGUGAUGGACCUGACUUCGACUGCACAAGGUGCGAAGAAGGCGGUUCACGAUGCUAAGGUUGAGCUGGCUACUGCGUAUUCGAAGCUGCUGGCUGGGAUCAAGGAGAAGUGGGUCGCCAAAAAGGAGUACACGGUGCUGGAGGGGCAAGCGGCCGAGGUGGAGUCGAACCUGGCUUUGAUCGACCAGAUCACAAAGGCUGCUAUCGAUCUGACCGUGGAGAAACCUCGGCUGCAAGCAGAGCUGGAUGACCUAGAGGCGCGGUACAAAUCGAAGGAGGUAUCAGACUUUACUCUAAGCAAGUUGGAUCUCCCGCAGGUUUUAGAGAUUUCGGUGGUACGUCCGAUGGACGUCGACGAGCAAGGGACGCCAAUUGGCUUGGAUGAGUUCGGGAGCAACAAAGACGCUUUUCCGGGAGGUCUCGCGGAGGGUUCUGGUACUGUCUUCGCUACGUCAGCCGGAGAAUCGAGGGAGUGAUCACUUUCGCUCCUUGUUUGUUUUAGGAUUUUGUGUUUUGUUUCAGAAUUAAUGCCUGGAAGGCUUUUAUCCUUUCGUUUUUUGCUUUUUGAACUUGGUGCCUGGGAAGGCUUUUAUCCUUUGUUCGUUUAAGUACUUGGAUGCCAAGGCUUUUAUCCUUUUUAGCAAGUAUUUUUUGGUUUUCCAUUCGAGUGUUGACACUUCGUUAAUUUUGGUGUAUGAUCACCUUGCUUUGUCCAUGUUCCAGAUAAUAAUUG